rnacentral:rRNA from 1 species
UACGUAGGGGGCAAGCGUUGUCCGGAUUUAUUGGGCGUAAAGAGCGUGUAGGCGGUCUGGUAGGUCCGUUGUGAAAACUCGAGGCUCAACCUCGAGACGCCGAUGGAAACCAUCAGACUAGAGUCCGGAAGAGGAGAGUGGAAUUCCUGGUGUAGCGGUGAAAUGCGCAGAUAUCAGGAAGAACACCCGUGGCUAAGGCGGCUCUCUAGUACGGUACUGACGCUGAGGAGCGAAAGCGUGGGGAGCGAACAGG